UAAAAUAUCGUUUUAGAAUCACAUCUGCCUUUUAGCAACCACAGAAUGAAGUGAAGCACAGAAAUGAAGUCUACCUUCUACCUGGCACAGAAAACAAGUAACAAGAAAAUGGGAGGGAACUGGUAUGUGACUGAUCUAUUUCUGACAUGAAUCUAGGAUGCAACUUGGAGGUAUACACAGAUGGAAUAUCUGGUAUCGUAUAAAAAGAAAUUUUACUUAUAUCAACUAAGUGUUUGCACAUGUAUUUUAUGACCUUGGCCUGACACAACAUUUGGUACCUUGAGUAACAGAAAUUAUUGGUAUGGUCUCUCAGCUCGGUUCCAAUGAAAAAGAACACAUGAUGACUUGGAUGGUUCUGGAAAAAAGAGGCAUGAUUUGACCCCAAAGAAAGGUCACGUUACUUCUGCAUCUUGAGCCUAUAUUGUGAUGGGAUUGAAAGCACUGUUCAAGGUUCAAGCCACUAGAGUUUCUGCCCUCACUACAUUACCUGCAACAGAACAAGGAUGUUGCCAUCAUAAACAAGCACUCUUGUAUUAAAUCUGUGAGGUUGAAUUGCCAGUGACCAGUCCAUCACUUCCUGGACAGACAGUUACUAGUUGAUUGUUUCCAAAUUGUCUCCAUUCACUUACUGAAGUGGUCAGUUAAUAAAGUCACCAGCACAAU